UGGGGAAUAUUGGACAAUGGGCGAAAGCCUGAUCCAGCCAUGCCGCGUGGGUGAAGAAGGCCCUAGGGUUGUAAAGCCCUUUCGGCGGGGACGAUGAUGACGGUACCCGCAGAAGAAGCCCCGGCUAACUUCGUGCCAGCAGCCGCGGUAAUACGAAGGGGGCUAGCGUUGCUCGGAAUUACUGGGCGUAAAGGGCGCGUAGGCUGUCAUGUUAGUUGGAUGUGAAACCCCCGGGCUCAACCUGGGAACUGCAUUCAAUACGGCAUGACUUGAGGACGAGAGAGGGUGGUGGAACUCCCAGUGUAGAGGUGAAAUUCGUAGAUAUUGGGAAGAACACCAGUGGCGAAGGCGGCCACCUGGCUCGUUCCUGACGCUGAGGCGCGAAAGCGUGGGGAGCAAA
rnacentral:rRNA from 1 species